CGCAGGCGUGGGGUUGGGAGGCUUUGCGGGAGAAGCCCCGGAGUAGAUGCUGCCAGGUCUGUGACUGAGGGAGAUGAUCACUGUAGCCAGGAAAAUAGACUGGACAUGCGAGAAGCAAUAGGAAGAACAUGGCGUAACAGCUCGGCCAUGCGCGCAGAUGGGUGCGGUGGGGAGAGGAACUGCUUGAGAUGGACCCGCUCUCCAGAGAGACGCCCUUCCGGCUGCGGAGGCCUGAGCCAGGUCUGGAGGAGAACUGCGCUCUGCCUGUCCAGGCGGAGGGAGGCCGUUCUCCUCAGGCAGAUAAAGAGAGCAAGUACUUAACGGAGACACACGGCAGCAUGGAGACUGGGGUCACCCCACAACCGUUGGAGCAGCUGUGGUCUUUCCAUUAAGAGGUAAAAUUUGCAUCUGGUCCACACCACUGUGCUCUGAAUAUCAGAAACGGGAAGCAGUGCCCAAUGCUUCCCGCAAUGCUAGGACAAGUCACAGCAGCACAACAUCUGCAGCUGGAGAGGGGAUCAGCCUUUUCCAGAACAUUCCCCUCCUGAGCCAAGGGGAACGGUGUGGUGGAAGCCAGGCUCGCUUCUCUCUGUUGGGGGGAAGGGGGGGUCAAGGGUGGAGGGCUGGGAGGUGUCAGGUGACCACCCAAAGAAAGGUCUCAAGGUCAGGGAAUCCUGGGGCAGGGUGCUGCCUCUUCAGAGUGUGGGAUUUUAAAAGCCCAAAGGAGAACUUAGAUCCAAGGUGGGAGCUACAGCUUGCACUUCCUGCCUCGAUGGUCUUGCCUGUCCCUUUAGAUGGGGUGAGGCACCAUGUGGUCUGUGCUCAGAAAGGGUUAAGUCUCACCCGCAGCCCUGGGAUCUGUCAGCAUUGGCGAUGAGGCUUCCUGCGGGGAGACCACUACCUUGGAGCGGGCCAGAGCCUGGUGUCCCAAGAGAGAUGGUCACAGACUCCCUAGAGGGAUGGUGUGUGGUCACUAGGGAUGGAAAGGAAUUGACCUUUACUGGGCAGUGACCAUGCGCCCGGCCCAGGGGCAGGGAUCACAUCUCAGCUCCAGGUCACCGUUUCAAGACAGGUGCGAUGCUCUCUGUUUUAUAGAAAAGGAAACUGAGUCUCUGUGGGCCUGGUCCUAACCCAGUCACAUGCAAGCAUUCAUGCCUG
rnacentral:lncRNA from 1 species